GGGAGACAGCGACGCCGAGUGACCAAGCAAUGGUGGAGCACCUUCGAAGGAACGACAGUUGCUGCGCGAUGGAGGUGGCUGUUCGAAUAAACGACGGCGGCGGCACGACGCGGUGGCUGGACGGAGGUGAGGGACGACCGGACGACGAGCUCGAUGAGAAGUCGUGUGAGAGUCAGAGAGUCGUUCCCAGUUCUCACUCUCAGUUCUCAGUUUCUAAAGCUCGAAGAGAAGGGGGAUACACUCAGGAAUCAGGAUCGAAUUAGGGAUUUAGGGCUCCAGAGGCUGAAACGACAACGUUUUGCUGCCCAGCCAAAAAACCAGCCGGGUCACGGUUCGGUUCGACCGACCGGUUACCGACCGGUUUACCGAUUCAAUUCCGAUUUUCAAAUUCUGCAGUUUUGAUGUUUAACCGAAUCAUUUUUCUGUGCAGUUUACGGUUCAACCGGUUCAACCGA